UACGUAGGCAGCAAGCGUUGUUCGGAGUUACUGGGCGUAAAGGGCGCGUAGGCGGCCUUAUAAGUAUGGUGUGAAAUCUCCCGGCUUAACUGGGAGGGUGCGCUAUAGACUGUGGGGCUAGAGUGUGGGAGAGGAAAGUGGAAUUCCUGGUGUAGCGGUGAAAUGCGUAGAUAUCAGGAGGAACACCGGUGGUGAAAACGGCUUUCUGGACCAUAACUGACGCUGAGGCACGAAAGCGUGGGGAGCAAACAGG
rnacentral:rRNA from 1 species